GACGAACGCUGGCGGCGUGCUUAACACAUGCAAGUCGAACGCUGAAGCUCAGCUUUUGUUGGGUGGAUGAGUGGCGAACGGGUGAGUAACAUGUGAGUAACCUGCCCCCUUCUUUGGGAUAACGCCCGGAAACGGGUGCUAAUACUGGAUAUUCACUGGUCUUCGCAUGGGGGUUGGUGGAAAGGGUUUUUCUGGUGGGGGAUGGGCUCGCGGCCUAUCAGCUUGUUGGUGGGGUGAUGGCCUACCAAGGCUUUGACGGGUAGCCGGCCGGAGAGGGUGACCGGUCACAUUGGGACUGAGAUACGGCCCAGACUCCUACGGGAGGCAGCAGUGGGGAAUAUUGCACAAUGGGCGCAAGCCUGAUGCAGCGACGCCGCGUGAGGGAUGGAGGCCUUCGGGUUGUGAACCUCUUUCGCUCAUGGUCAAGCCGCAACAAUGGUUGUGGUGAGGGUAGUGGGUAAAGAAGCGCCGGCUAACUACGUG
rnacentral:rRNA from 1 species